UUAUAUAAAUAUUCCUCGUUGUCAUCUUCCGUCCUCACUUUCUAUUAAGACACGAGGAUAGUAAUAGUUGUACUAUGUAAGCGGAGUGUUUAUAAAUCACAAAAAUUAUUACUACAAUCAUUAGACUACUUCUAUUUUAAUUAAACUAUUUCUAUAGCUUUCAAUAGCUGCAAAUCAUAAAAUUCACUGUAAUAUUAAUUAUUAUUACAAUAAUACUAGUUGAAUUAUUCUACAAAAUAUUACAAUACAUUUUAAAUAAAUUACACCAAUAUAAUACAAUCAAGAGUAUCCUGGUUCCGAAAGCAUACCCAAUAAUUGGAAGUGCUCAUUUGUUUGUUGGCGAUAACGAAGAUAUAGCCCAACAUUUCAUAAAUAUUGGUUAAAAUUAUCAAUCAUUGUGGCGUAUAUGGCUAGGCACGAAAUUACUUGUAAUCGUACAUAAUCCUGAAUAUAUCAAGAAGGUAUUAAAUAACCCAAAUAUUAAUGAGAAGAGCGAGGAGUAUAAAUAUAUGAAAUCGAUUAUCGCCAAUGGAUUGUUUUCUGCUUCAGCAAAAUUGUGGAAUCAUCAUAGAAAAAUAUUAAAUGAAGUCUUUCUUAAAAAAUAUCUAAUGUCCCAUAUGGAUGUAUUCGUUAAUCAUUUUGUCGCUUUAAUGGAAAAAUUGGAAACUUUAGUUGGACAAGAAAUAGAAAUUUGCCAUUACGCCUUUCGUUGUACAUUGGACAUAAUAUAUGUGCUUAUUCAAAGAUUGUCUGCAUCAAUCUUCACUAAAUUCGCAGACCGAUGAGAAUUCCAAACUAGAUAAAUCGAUUCAUUGUUUGAUGGAUAUAGCUGUGCGAAGGAUAUUCAAAACAUGGUUACAUCCGAAUAUAAUUUUUUGUAAUACUGCUAUGGGGAGGAAAUUUCAAAUAUGUUCAUCCUACCUGAAUAACGUUACAAGGAAUAUUUAAAAGAUUCAUUUCGUUAAUCCAUCUUAUUUUUUUUUAACAAUUUAAUAUUUAAGUAUUAUAUUGUCUUUAUAAAUAUAUAUCAUUUUUUGUUUGGAAAGAGAAUCAAAGAUAAAAAGUAAUCUAUGUUAAGAAGCGUAAUUAAACAAGAUUUGAUUAGGUCUUACUUUGAUAUAUUCCAGAUUAUGUACGAUUACAAGUAAUUUCGUGUCUAGCCAUAUACGCCACAAUGAUUGAACAUUUCAACCAAUAUUUAUGAAAUGUUGGUUUAUAUCUAAAAAAGAAAUUAUAAAUGAAAACUGGGUAAAGCGUUUAAAUAUAAAAUAUAUCAAUUACAAAUAUAUCUUCGUUAUCGCCAACAAACAAAUGAGCAUUUCCAAUUAUUGGGUAUGAAUUCGGAACCGGGAUACUCUUGAUCGUAUUAUAUUGUAGUAAAUGUAAUUUAUUUAAAAUGUAUUGUUAUAUUUUGUAGGAUAAGUCAACUAGUAUUAUUGUAAUAAUAAUUAAUAUUACAGUGAAUUUUAUUACAGUGAUUUCCAGCUAUUGAAAGCUAUAGAAAUAGUUUAAUUAAAAUAGUUUAAUUAAAAUAGAAGUGAUUGUAGUAAUAAUUUUUGUGAUUUACAAACACUACGCUUACACAGUACAACUCUUACUAUCCUCGUAUCUUAAUAGAAAGUGAGAACGGAAGAUGACAACGAGGAAUAAUUAUAUAAUACGCAGUACGGACUAUGCUCAUGUGAUCAGAGCUUACAUAAGAAAAUUCUUAUUCGAUUAGGCGAGAAGGAAAUAGGAGGGGAUCCAAAAAUGAAUUAUCUCUUCCUUAUCGCCUCCUCUUACUUCCACAAAAAAUGCUAUAACUGAACAUAGUUUUAUAAACCGAUUGUUAAUUAAUUCUUCAUUAGAAUGGAGAAUAUGUCAUAAAUUAUACGAUUAUGUUAUGAAAAUCAUCUUUUCUGUUAGCUUGACAUUUGAAUGUAUAUUUCUACUUCAAUUUCUAAUUUUGGUGUAAUAAACAGUAAUUAUAAUGUUCAUUAUGAAAAAAGCAAUUAUUUCCUAUUUUCAUUCAUAUAUAUAUUUCUUAUAUACAUAGUUAUAACACUGAUUUUGGAAAUAAUAACAAUAUAUAUGAAAAACUAUAUAUAAUAAUUACAUGUAGAAUUAGGAAAAUAUCUUCUGUGCAAAUUGCCCGUCAUCACUGGUCAUGGUAGGAGAAAUGCAACGUACCUUAAAAAAAUUAUUUUUUAAUUACACGUUCAAUGCAGUACAGUUUAACGGUCAACAAUUCUCAAUUUAUUUAUAUCGCAAUGGACCACACAAACUUUUAUCUGUUCAUUCGCUCGGCACUCGAUGGUCGAUAUUGCCGAAGUAAAACAACUUUCUCGCACUCAUGUCUAGUUUUUUAUAUAUUAUGUAAUCGUGUUUUUCUCUCUUUCACUCGUUCAUUAUAAGUUUCUAUCAUACACAUGUACAUUUUUUCAAAGUACGGAACAACGAACUUCGUUUAAUCCAAGACCGCUUGGAAGUCACACGUGAACUAAUACUCAUUCUGAUCGCUAUCAUAGUUUAUAUUUAUUUCUUAUAUUUAUAUUUAUAUAUUAUACAAAUUAUAUGGUAUAAAUUGUAGAAGCCGCAUGUACCAUCGAUUUUAUAUUCUAAAGUCAAUAAAUCGCAAUGCUAAAAAUGAAGAUAAUAAUUUCCACUCUGUUAAUAAGUUAUAUCAUUAAAAUAAAUCAGUUAGUAAUAGUUGAAAAAAUUCUGAUAAAAAUGAAUGUUAUAUUAAAACUGGCUAGAUCUGUAAGAUCAAAAUUUAGAAGAAGAAUGAAAUUGUAUAAUGUAUAUAAAUGUAAUAAAUAUAUAAUUAACAUAUUAUGUUUUUAUACGUAAUAAAUUCCGUACGUGAUGGCAGAUCUAUAGCAGAUAUAAAUUAUUAAUCGUACAAUCUAGGAACUGUAAAAAAAACUGUCUCAUGCUAUUUUAUAUAAAAAAUUCAUGCAAUUUUAUAUAAUAAGUAAUCAAAGGAUAAAGACCAUUUUUUAAAAAUUAUACGGCCCACAAGAUUAAUUCAUGUUCGUUAUGACCGAUACAAUAGAAUUCGUCUGUAAAAACAAAUUACAUCUUGUUUAUAUAUUUUACCUUUUAGCAACCAAUUAGAGAAAUCGUUAAGAAGAAACCUACUGAAUUAAUGAAGUAUUUCUAUAAGAAAGUACGCAACAUCAUAUAAAUCUAAUUGCUCAAUCAAAGAAUGGAAAAGAGUAAGAGCAAGAGGAAAAAAGAGGAAGAUAGUGAUGAUGAUAAAGUGAUAGAGGAAGAUGGAGAGAGGGAGUACGAUGUGAAGCAGGAAAAAGAGACAAAAGAUCAAAUAUUGACAU